ensembl:lncRNA
GGCGGGCGGGCGGGCGGGCGGGCGGGCAGGCAGUAAAAGGAGCUGAUAUAAGGAGACCUCACAAGCUAAGGCAGUCAGGCAGGCAGUAAAAGGAGCUGAUAUAAGGUGACCUCACAAGCUAAAAAAAAAAACAUUACAACCACAGCAGAAAAAGACUGUAAAGCCGUUCUGAAUGGCCUCUGUUGAAAAUGAGCCCACCAACUUUUGACCCCUAGAUCGCAAAGCAAGAAAUGGAUUUGCACUGGAGCUGUCCCAGGAGUCACAGAAUAUAUUGUUAUUCUGUAGCUACUGUAUUGUAUUCUAUCGUUGGUCAGACCCAAGCCACAUGUAACAAACAUCCUCGUUGUUUAACCUAACAAAUCUCCCAAUAUAUAAUUUUUUACAGAAUAAAGUAUAUGUAUUCUAAAUUACUAUUUUGUAUCUUCUGAGAUAUAAAGAAUAGUUAUAUAAAAGAGGUAAUUUAGUGUCUUGUGAUUUACAAAAAUAUAUAAUGAACUCAUAUCAACUAAAAAGUAUUUAAACACACCAGUGAACGUGUAAAUUAACCUGUUUGUAAACAUUAAUAUAUAUGUCUUAUCUCUUCAUCUGUCCAUCAAACAUACGCAUUUCAACUGUGUUUGCUAUUUCUCAUGUUUUUCAAGCGAACACAAAUCCUUUCAAAGUUUGGUCUUCAAUCAACAAAUGAAAUUCCUGUUGUUGCCAAAUUGUUGUUUCAUGCAAGCUCUUUUUUUCUGCAUUUCCUAAGAGUCCAGCUGGUGAAAGGACAUAAUAGCCAAGUUCAGAUAAAAACCUGAGGACUUUUAGAGGUCUAUGACAGUCGUUUAAUGAACUUUCUAUUCAUUUCUAUUCAUUCAGUUGCGUAGCAUGUUUUCCUUCAGGGCACUUUAUGAACUUCAAAAGCCUUAACCAAUUGCAGGAGUGGGAUGGGGAAAUUGUCCCCAAGAGAGAACACACUAAAACCAGAAAAUGGUUGACAGCGUAUGAAUUUUGAGCAAAUAAGAAAAGUGUUACCAUGUUCAAGUCUACGUCAAGGUGGAAGUUUUGUGGCCCAUUUGGACAUUCACGAUCAAAGUGAUGUCGUGUAUAAUAUUAUGUAUUUAUAAGAUUGUAACAACAUUAUCAACAAUAAACCGCAUAUUUGGAUCUGUAUGUAUCAUGAUAAUAAGCUAGAUUUGAUUCUAAAUUCCUUUAUAAACUGAUGUCAACUUAAUGUGAAGAAAUGAAAAGGGGUCUAACUAGAACAGGGCUAGGGGAUGGGACUGUUGGCAUGAGCAGGCCUUAUGUCAGAACUCAUAAAUGUGGUAGUAUGAGAUUACGUUUCCAUUGUAUCAUGUAAUACGCUACUCCUAUUGGUGGCACAAUGUUAUCAUAAUGGCAAAAUUAUUUAAAGUAAUUAAUGCCAUUCCCAUAUACCACCGCAAUUCAAGAACGGCUCUUUUAUAAGCUUCCCAUGACAUGUGCUUGUUUGUUCUUGUGUAUCUUAGGUUCAUGAUUAUACCGUUAUAAAAGGGCAUCACUAACAACCUGAAUUGUAGGAAAUGAAUACCUCUGGAAAGAAAUGUAUGAGUAGCUAAUAAUGAUCUUUCAUUUUAACUGAUUAAUGUCAUGGCUUCAUCUAUUGACAUGUUUUACAGGUAAAGCUAUUCCUUUUAUCUCAAGUACCUUUAAUGGAAUGUUAUAUUGGUUUUAAAUGUUGGUGUUUUCACAUUCAAUAGUUUGUGUGUGAAUUUCUUGAAGCUAGUCUAAACCUGAAACUGAUGACCAAACUGCUGUGCAUUGGGGGUCGUAAAUGUAUUUUUCAGGUGAUGUACUUAUGUCUGUAAAACAUAAAUGAAUAUACAUUUUGCUCGAAGGAAAUUUAUCCAGAAUAUAUAUUGUAUAUUUAUGAACUUAUAACAUUUUGUAUCUAUUGGUGAAAUACAUCAUAAAACUGUCAUAAACUGUCAUAAACUGUCAUAAACUGUCAUAAAACCCAUUCAGCACCAGCCAGAGAAGUGUGGUGUUAACUAACAUUUACAAGUGUAUUAGUUGUAGCUUUUUGAAGAAUGAGUUAUGUUGAUUGACUGGAAUUGUUUGUGACAUAUUGACUGAAAUCCCUAUCUGUUUUUCUCCUGAUAUUUUUUUCAUCCUAUGUCCAUAUUUCAAAGGGGUGAGAAAUACUGUACAGUUUAUGUUUGAGGAGGAUGGGGUACAUUCAUUGAUAUUUUUUAAAUAAAGUAUCAUCAUGGUAAAUCUUGGACUGGA